rnacentral:sRNA from 1 species
AUGAAGCUCUUUUGGCAAAAAUCCAUCAAUGGUUCUUGAUUCAUGAAGAAGCAUGGAUUAACAGUGUGAGAGGGUCCUCACCCCUCACACUCCACCACUUCCAACAGUUUGUUUUGGUUUUAGCUAUUGGCUUCUGUAAUCACCAAGGGAUAGCAUACAUAGUAUUAAUCUCUAUGACUAACAGAAGCAUAUAAGCAUUCUCCAUUGGAGCAAAGGCUUUCUUUGGCUACAGCUAGGGCAAGCCGGCAAGUCAUCACAAAAAGGCAUGGACUCCAUUAGGGGUCCU